rnacentral:rRNA from 1 species
GGAGGAAAAGAAACCAACAGGGAUUGCCUUAGUAGCGGCGAGUGAAGCGGCAAAAGCUCAAAUUUGAAAUCUGGCACUUUCAGUGUCCGAGUUGUAAUUUGAAGAAGGUAUCUUUGGGUCUGGCUCUUGUCUAUGUUUCUUGGAACAGAACGUCACAGAGGGUGAGAAUCCCGUGCGAUGAGAUGUCCCAGACCUAUGUAAAGUUCCUUCGAAGAGUCGAGUUGUUUGGGAAUGCAGCUCUAAGUGGGUGGUAAAUUCCAUCUAAAGCUAAAUAUUGGCGAGAGACCGAUAGCGAACAAGUACAGUGAUGGAAAGAUGAAAAGAACUUUGAAAAGAGAGUGAAAAAGUACGUGAAAUUGUUGAAAGGGAAGGGCUUGAGAUCAGACUUGGUAUUUUGUAUGUUACUCUCUCGGGGGUGGCCUCUACAGUUUACCGGGCCAGCAUCAGUUUUAAGCGGUAGGAUAAGUGCAAAGAAAUGUGGCACUGCUUCGGUAGUGUGUUAUAGUCUUUGUCGAUACUGCCAGCUUAGACUGAGGACUGCGGCUUCGGCCUAGGAUGUUGGCAUAAUGAUCUUAAGUCGCCCGU